rnacentral:rRNA from 1 species
AUUGAACGCUGGCGGCAUGCUUUACACAUGCAAGUCGAACGGCAGCGCGGGCUUCGGCCUGGCGGCGAGUGGCGAACGGGUGAGUAAUGCAUCGGAACGUGCCCAGUAGUGGGGGAUAGCCCGGCGAAAGCCGGAUUAAUACCGCAUACGACCUGAGGGUGAAAGCGGGGGACCGAAAGGCCUCGCGCUAUUGGAGCGGCCGAUGUCGGAUUAGCUAGUUGGUAGGGUAAAGGCUUACCAAGGCGACGAUCCGUAGCUGGUCUGAGAGGACGACCAGCCACACUGGGACUGAGACACGGCCCAGACUCCUACGGGAGGCAGCAGUGGGGAAUUUUGGACAAUGGGGGCAAGCCUGAUCCAGCCAUGCCGCGUGCGGGAAGAAGGCCUUCGGGUUGUAAACCGCUUUUGUUCGGGAAGAAAUCCUCUGGGCUAAUACCCCGGGGGGAUGACGGUACCGGAAGAAUAAGCACCGGCUAACUACGUG